AAGUUCUUCGGAAUGGAAAUUGAUAUUCUAGCGGCGGACAGGUGAGUAACGCGUGAGCAAUCUGUCCCAGACAGGGGGAUAACAGAUGGAAACAUCUGCUAAUACCGCAUAAGACCACGAGGAGACAUCUUCUUGAGGUAAAAGGAGUAAUCCGGUUUGGGGUGAGCUCGCGUCCGAUUAGCUAGUUGGCGAGGUAACGGCCCACCAAGGCGACGAUCGGUAGCCGACCUGAGAGGGUGAUCGGCCACAUUGGGACUGAGACACGGCCCAAACUCC
rnacentral:rRNA from 1 species